rnacentral:rRNA from 1 species
CCUACGGGUGGCAGCAGUGAGGAAUAUUGGUCAAUGGGCGAGAGCCUGAACCAGCCAAGUCGCGUGAGGGAGUACUGCCCUAUGGGUUGUAAACCUCUUUUGUCGGGGAGCAAAAGCCGGACGGGUCCGGCUGUGAGAGUACCCGAAGAAAAAGCAUCGGCUAACUCCGUGCCAGCAGCGGCGGUAUUACGGAGGAUGCGAGCGUUAUCCGGAGUUUUUGGGUUUAAAGGGGGCGCAGGCGGAAUGUUAAGUCAGCGGUCAAAUCUUGGGGCUCAACCCCAUCCAGCCGUUGAAACUGGGGAUCUAGAGUGUGCGAGAGGUAUGCGGAAGGCGUGGUGUAGCGGUGAAAUGCAUAGAUAUCACGCAGAACCCCGAUUGCGAAGGCAGCAUACCGGUGCACAACUGACGCUCAGGCACGAAAGCGUGGGUAUCGAACAGGAUUAGAUACCCGGGUAGUC